GUUCCCAUAGUAUAGCGGUCAUCACGUCUGUGUAACAAGAAGAAGGUCAUCGGUUCAAUUCCGGCUGAGAACA
rnacentral:tRNA from 2 species